CCCGGUGUGAGGUGAGGGGUAGGUUUUGGAAGCCUGUAUGAUGACGAGUUCAGUUUUGGACCUGGUGAGCCUGAAGGGGCUGUGGUGCCUGCUGGUGGAGAUGACACAGCCGUACGAGGUCAGUAGUGACCCCGCUUUAUAGAUGAAGAUACUGACACCUAGAGAGGUGAAAUGACUCCCCCAGGAUCACACAGCUUCUAAGGACCACAACCGGGACUUGCAACCAGGAAUUCUGUUUUGAACAUGCUGGCAACCUAGACGCCAAAGGGUGGGAGUGAAAUGGGCUGCCUGGCGGGAGGGUGAGCCGCUGAUAGGAAAGAGUGUGGGAACUGUUGCCAGGUUCUAAAAGCACAGAGUGAGCUGGGCCAAGGAAAAGGUGGGGUCCUUCCGGGCUGGACGGUUCCCAGCUCUAACUCUCCUGGGAACUCCAUGUCCAUGGUCAAGGGCGGGAGACCGUGCUGGAACCCAGCUGCUGCUGAUGCCUUGACCAUCAAGAAAACCCACAGGGCCUUGCCCAGAGAAAUGCAUUUGCCAGAGAUCGCCGAGGCUCAGGGCAAACAGAACCACAUCCCAUCUACCUGCCUUGCCCUGUGGUAGGGGGUGGUUUAUUCUCACAGACCCUGGGUGAACCCACUCCACAUACUCAAACAGCCUGAGCUAGGCCAGAAAGGUGGGGAAACUGAUGGCCCAACAGGGCAAGGAUUUGCCCGAAGAUCCAGAGCACAGAGACUGGAUGUAAAAGCAAAAGGCCCCAGGUCUGCAAUGCGCUCCUUGGACACAACCAUUGUCCUGGGAGAGACAUGGGCCACAUCUCCGUAGCCACAGGAGGGGGCAGUGCCUCACUGGGUUCCCCUGACCAGGUCCCUGUGGAGGCUGCCCUGGUAGCGUCACCAAGCCCCCUUGGCCAGGUCCCUGUGGAGGCUGCCCUGAUGGUGUCACCAAGCCCUCCUGGCCAGGUCCCCGUGGAGGCUGCUCUGAUGGUGUCACUAAGCCCUCCUGGCUAGGUCCCCGUGGAGUCUGCUCUGAU